UACGUAGGGUGCAAGCGUUGUCCGGAAUUAUUGGGCGUAAAGAGCUCGUAGGUGGCUUGUCGCGUCUGCCGUGAAAGCCCAUGGCUUAACUAUGGGUCUGCGGUGGAUACGGGCAGGCUAGAGGCUGGUAGGGGCAAGCGGAAUUCCUGGUGUAGCGGUGAAAUGCGCAGAUAUCAGGAGGAACACCGGUGGCGAAGGCGGCUUGCUGGGCCAGUUCUGACGCUGAGGAGCGAAAGCGUGGGGAGCGAACAGG
rnacentral:rRNA from 1 species